AGUCGAGAAUAAUUCACAAUGGACGAAAGUCUGAUGGUGCAACGCCGCGUGGAGGAUGAAGGUCUUCGGAUUGUAAACUCCUGUCAUUUGAGAGCAAGACCUGGCGGUGAAUAGCCGACAGGGUUGAUAGUAUCGAAAGAGGAAGGGACGGCUAACUUCGUGCCAGCAGCCGCGGUAAUACGAAGGUCCCGAGCGUUGUUCGGAAUCACUGGGCGUAAAGGGAGCGUAGGCGGCAUGGCAAGUCAGGUGUGAAAUCCCGGGGCUCAACCCCGGAACUGCACCCGAUACUGCCUUGCUAGAGUAAUGGAGGGGUAGCUGGAAUUCUCGGUGUAGCAGUGAAAUGCGUGGAUAUCGAGAGGAACACUUGUGGCGAAGGCGAGCUACUGGACAUUUACUGACGCUGAGGCUCGAAGGCCAGGGGAGCGAA
rnacentral:rRNA from 1 species